rnacentral:antisense_RNA from 1 species
CGGUAUGGCGGCUGUGCGUGGGAGACCUUCGGGUCUGCCGGGGGUGAUUCUUCCUGGUAUGCGAACCCGCGCACAGUUGCCAAUACC